GGUGUCGUAGCUCAGUCGGUAGAGCAUCGGACUGAAAAUCCGUGUGUCACUGGUUCAAAUCCAGUCGACACCA
rnacentral:tRNA from 1 species